GCAAGUCGAGCGCACCCUUCGGGGCGAGCGGCGGACGGGUUAGUAACGCGUGGGAACGUGCCCUUUACUAAGGAAUAGCCUCGGGAAACUGAGAGUAAUACCUUAUACGCCCUUCGGGGGAAAGAUUUAUCGGUAAAGGAUCGGCCCGCGUUAGAUUAGAUAGUUGGUGGGGUAAUGGCCUACCAAGUCUACGAUCUAUAGCUGGUUUUAGAGGAUGAUC
rnacentral:rRNA from 1 species